rnacentral:rRNA from 1 species
UACGUAGGGCGCAAGCGUUGUCCGGAAUUAUUGGGCGUAAAGAGCUCGUAGGCGGUUUGUCGCGUCUGCUGUGAAAACGCGAGGCUUAACCUCGCGCCUGCAGUGGGUACGGGCAGACUAGAGUGCGGUAGGGGAGACUGGAAUUCCUGGUGUAGCGGUGGGAUGCGCAGAUAUCAGGAGGAACACCGGUGGCGAAGGCGGGUCUCUGGGCCGUUACUGACGCUGAGGAGCGAAAGCAUGGGGAGCGAACAGG